AUUGAACGCUGGCGGCAGGCCUAACACAUGCAAGUCGAACGGUAACAGAAAGCAGCUUGCUGCUUUGCUGACGAGUGGCGGACGGGUGAGUAAUGUCUGGGAAACUGCCUGAUGGAGGGGGAUAACUACUGGAAACGGUAGCUAAUACCGCAUAACGUCGCAAGACCAAAGAGGGGGACCUUCGGGCCUCUUGCCAUCGGAUGUGCCCAGAUGGGAUUAGCUAGUAGGUGGGGUAAAGGCUCACCUAGGCGACGAUCCCUAGCUGGUCUGAGAGGAUGACCAGCCACACUGGAACAGAGACACGGUCCAGACUCCUACGGGAGGCAGCAGUGGGGAAUAUUGCACAAUGGGCGCAAGCCUGAUGCAGCCAUGCCGCGUGUAUGAAGAAGGCCUUCGGGUUGUAAAGUACCUUCAGCGGGGAGGAAGGGAGUAAAGUUAAUACCUUUGCUCAUUGACGUUACCCGCAGAAGAAGCACCGGCUAACUCCGUG
rnacentral:rRNA from 1 species